GACGAACGCUGGCGGCGUGCUUAACACAUGCAAGUCGAGCGGUAAGGCCCUUUCGGGGGUACACGAGCGGCGAACGGGUGAGUAACACGUGGGUGACCUGCCCUCAGCUCUGGGAUAAGCCUGGGAAACUGGGUCUAAUACCGGAUAUGACUCCAUGACGCAUGUUGUGGGGUGGAAAGCCUUGUGCGGCUGAGGAUGGGCCCGCGGCCUAUCAGCUUGCUGGUGGGGUGAUGGCCUACCAAGGCGACGACGGGUAGCCGGCCUGAGAGGGCGACCGGCCACACUGGGACUGAGACACGGCCCAGACUCCUACGGGAGGCAGCAGUGGGGAAUCUUGCGCAAUGGGCGAAAGCCUGACGCAGCGACGCCGCGUGAGGGAUGACGGCCU
rnacentral:rRNA from 1 species